rnacentral:tRNA from 1 species
GCGGGUGUAGCUCAGUUGGUAGAGCGUAUGCUUGCCAAGCAUAAGGUCGGGGGUUCGAAACCCCUCACCCGCUCCA